GUGAGUUUAUUGUCAAGAGUGUCGCACAGGCAGAGAUGUUCGCUGCCUUCAAGUCAAGAUGUGACUUAACUUUAUACUGUGGAUAUUUCUCUAAUUAAUUGGAAUUUUUGGGUCAUCCUUGAAACAGCCAAUGACGAUAUGACAGAAGUUGAGUUAGCAAACAAUUUGGAAGAUUUUGCCAACACAGGGCGUGCAGGGCGACGAAAUGCUAUGCCAAAUGUAUUAGAUCCAGUAAAUGCAGCUGUUGAAACCGGCAGUCUUCCCUUUGAAUUAGAUAAAUUAAAAUGCUCAGAUACCGAAGAAGGGAAAUCAGAUACAGCAUGUGCUGCCCCCAACACUUCACAAAGUGGAGGUACAAACAAUCCCCCGAACUCCUAGCAACUGAUCCGACAUAAGAACAACAACAGCAAUAUGAUGUGAGCUAGUCGUUUAGUAAAUGGGAGGUAACCCUGUUAAACAAAUCCACUCUAUAUUUUUUUUUUGUACAAAGUGUAAAGUUUUGGUCUAUCUUUAAGGUAAAUAUAUUAAUGGACAAACUUAUGUCUACAUAUCAUAUUGGAUCAUGUGACCUAGAGUACAACAUAUCUCUUACUGGUGCAGUUUGGAAGUAAAAAAAUUCCUAAUUGUGAUAAGGAUUACUCUUGUGAUUGUGAAACAUUUCGUGAUAACUGGAUACAUUGCCAUUCAAAGUGAACAGACUUGUCACAUUUCAGAAAUUGGAUUAAUUCAGUUUGGUGGAAGAGUUUCUGUCAUGGUUCAUCAUCAUCCACUGUGCUUCAAGUAAAAAAUAUUUCAAAUGGAAAAAAUUGUCUCUUCAAAACAGAUAUUUUAAUUCCUUUAUCUUAAAUUGAGCAUACUGCAUAAUUCUUUUUUUUUUUUUUUUUAAAAUAAAAGAUUUUAACAACUAUUGAUAUUUUAAUUUUGGAAGAAGGUGGAAACAAAUUUGUUAUAAUUGAAAGUAGUGUUCAUUUGAAGAUCCAGGGUCAUUUUGGAGAAAUGCAGUUCUGGACAUCUUGGCUUCUUCCUGAACAAAAAUUAUUAUUUGAUAUAUGUCUAAACGUUUACAACCAAACAAGUCAAACAAAUUGCUAAACUCAUUGAAGAUAGGUGUACAAAUGAAUGUCUAGAUUUGGAAUGUAAUGUUCCAAUUUGGAAAUAACUAUUAGCACAUAAUCUUUUCUGCUAUUGUAAAAGGAAUCUGUUGUUAAUAUUGUGUUUAAAUUAUAUCGAAAUUUGUGGCGUUGCAACAGUGUGUUCAUCAUUGAAUGUAACAUGGAAAUAAUGUGGAGUCGCAAAUACAGUGAGAAGUAACAAUAAUGAUAAUCUCUGCUACUCUUGAAGGGAGUGUUUGCCGUUCCCUCCCUGGUUUUUCAAUAUUGAUAAAAGGUGAAGAUUGCUUGACAAGGAAAAAUGGAUAGCAAUAAUGAUCACAGAAAAAUCACAAAUUGAGAAGCAUUAAUACCAUUUUGUGACAUGACAUACAUUUUAAAUGAAAAAAUAAGUGGUAAAUGUUCAUUUAGAAAAUCACAUUUGUGAUUGAUUGUGAUGUGCGAAUUUGUAACAAUUGUGAGAAUUAUUGAUAUAUACAUUAAGGGACAGAUUUGAAUGACAUUAAUUUGUUUACUAUAUUUUGUAUUAUAUCUGGAUGAUAUGCAUUCAUGUGAGCCAGUCCAGUUGUUAUUAAGUUGUGAAAAUGAUACAAUGUAUUAGAAAUAAUAACAAUUUGAUAAUGUAACAAUACAUUGUAUCUAUAUCAUCUAUCAAUUUUAAAUGUUAUUUUGACCCUGUCCUGUGUAAUUGUUAUUAUUUUGUGAUAAUGUCACACAGCACCUUAAGUUCUCCCAAAAAAUAUUUGUAUUCUCCCCUUCCUCUUCCCCAUCCCAAUUUAAUCUUACAAUUGAGUUUAAGCUUGCAGAUGUAUAUUUGAUCAAAAUAUAUUUAAGAGGUGGUUUUUUUUUAAUAAAGAAGUUAAUUGUGUAGCAUCUGGGAAAUAAUGUCCUGGUAUGUUAAUUAGAACUAUUUAUGUUAGUGUUGCAAUGGGUAAGAAAAAAUCUGGAUCUGGUUGAGCAAAACUAAACCUAAACUAGUUAACCUUGGGUUCCACAUCGGCCGUAUAUGCCGGUCCAGACCGAGGGCUAUGCAAAAUGACCGUAACUAGAUCUGACCCAUCGGUCAUUUUGCAUGCCGUAAAAAUAGCCUCUUUUUUUUAAAAAAAAAACAAAAAAACAAACAAUAAUCAUACAUGGCUAUGAUCGACCUCCACUAUGUAACUAAAAAAUUGUACGACCAAUACAGAAUAAUGCACACAUAUAGAAACCACAUGAUUGGUGUUAUGGAGUUGUAUACAUAGUUGUCAUCAGAUUAUAAUUUUUGGUGUACACCAUGCUGACAAAGUGGUAUAGACACGUGAAUUCACAAUACCCUACCAAGAAUAAAAAACAUGAAAUAUGAAUUUAUUUUGCCAAGUUUUUGUGCGUUAUCAAAAAUGACCGGCUGUGAAAAUUUUGAAGUGAAAGCCCUGCAGUAAAAUAUAUUAUUUCAAAAAAACAAUUAGGGGUACUGUUUGCUUGGGAACUACAGAAAAUAUAGGAACCAAUCUAUAAAUAACUUUGCUCAGGGGCGAUCCAGGAUUUUCAGAAAGCGGGGGAUCUACCAUUUUUAAGUAUUUUUGUUCUCCUUUCCUGCGAGAAUAUAUGGGGCAAAAAAUUGUUCGCUACCGCAAAAAAUAGGGUCUCACCCCACCCCACCCCGCCUGUGUCCUAGCCUGUUUGCUUAUAUUAAAGUUGAUUUUCUGUCUAUACAAUUUUAAAAAUUACAAUCCAUUACUACUAUAGGUAAAUUGAAGGCUAAAUAAAUACACCUUGAAACAUUUUUAUAGAAUAUUUCGAUUGUCUUCUACAGCAGGUCACACUCUUAGAAUGUAACAAUUAUAUGGCAAAUCUUUUUGUUGAGAAAUGUAUACACAACUAAUUAUUCUUGGAAAGCAAAUUAUCAGCAUUGUGACCCCUAUUGAGCAAUUGAACAUUUAAAAAUGUUGCAGAAAAGUUUGUAAAUAUGGCUAGCUAAUCAUAUGUUGACACCAAAGGAUUUCCUUUUCAGCCACUCUAAUAUAUAAAGGGUUUUGAUUGAUUUUUAGAAUUCAUGUCUACCAAUCAAGAUACUAUGUAUAACGGAACCAGGUAGUCUCUUUAGGCUAAGCUUGGGAAGCAGUGGUAUAAACACCUAAAAAAAUUUAAUUAAAAUGACAAAACUUGAAAUGUUCCAUCCAUAUGUAUUUACAGAUAUGUUCCUUCAAAAUUACAAUUCUUAAUUACAUAACACUUGAUUAGAGAAUAUAAUAUCCCGAUAUAUUUGGUGGCCAAAAUAAUAAUUCAAUGGUGUUUCAUCAACAUAUAUAGUGCCCUAAACAAUAAACUUUAUGGUGUACUGUGAGGGUAUCCUGUUUAUUGCAGGUAUACACAUGAUGGCCACCAUCAAAUGGGAGAGCAACAUAUCUGCAAUUGAAAAUUACAAAUUAUAACCCAUGACUUCCUGCUCCAGCAGAUAUAUCCUGAUAAUAUUGUCAACUGUGGUGGUUGAAGGGAUAGGAUGUCUUAGACCAUUAUUCUCUGUCCAUAAUCAUAUUUUUCCAAGUCAUAAGUACUACUGUAAUAUAUUCUCAGUUUAGAUCAGUUUGAGGUUGGAAUAAAUGACCUGAUUAAUCUUGAAGGAACAUGUCUUUAAAUUAUAGCUCAAAAUAUUUUCUUUGUAUGUAAAGAGUGUGCUUAUAUAAAUUAAGUUUAUUUUGGUCUCAAUAAAGCAAAAUGAUGUGGAAAUGGGCUUGUUUCAAAUUUAAGAAUAUAUAUGUACAUGUAGCCUACUGAAUUACUAUAUAGAGUCGUGUACAAGGCAGGGUAUACUUUCCGAUAUGUGAGUAUUUGGGUGUUAUAAAUAUAAGUAUAUUAUACUUAUAUUUAUAACACCCAAAUACUCACAUAUCCAAAAUCUUUUAAUAUAUGCCCAGAUUUGAAUGUGGUCAUGUGUGGCUGUCAUCCAUCUGUCUAUCAAUAAUUCCAUAUGCAAAUGCUAGGGUCACUUUUUAAUGAGAGGAAGCAGCCCAAACAAAACAAAUAUGUAUGAUUUCUGAUUAUGACACCGAUGAUUCUGCAGGAAAUGUAUAUUUGGUACAUUAACGAAGCACAGAAAUGUGUAACAUCUUGUAAUUGCUGCCUAGUUAUGAGUAAAGGAACUUGUGAGCAAGGUCACUGAAGUCCAGGCAAAAAGUUAGCAAAAGUCAAAACUAUAUAUUAUUGUGAAAAAAUGACAGUGCUUUGAUCAACUGAUUGUAUCAGAGAUAGGAAUAAUUAAUUAGAUAACACUCAAUUAAGGGAAGCCCUCGGCCUAACGGCUUUCAUGCAUUCUUUUACCGGGUAAUUUAUCGCUACAAACAGCAGAAUACCGUUCUUUGUUAAUCAAACAUUAACCCAUCAAAGUCAGGAAAUGUCAUUUCAGACAUGGGACUUCUUUAGGUAUCAAUGCCCUGCAAUGUUAUUGAAUUUGAUCAUCUUUGUGGUGAAUUAAUUGUGCCACGUCAUGUACAGCUAAACCUUAUUAUGUCCAUAUUUUCGUUUAAGAAAAAAAACCCAGGUACUUGUGAUCAUUUGAAUACCUUUAGAAGAGUGAAAAUUGUAAUGGUUUGAUAGACCAAAACUAAAAGGAAUCUCUUAUUAGUGCUCUUUGAAAUAGUAACCAUGUUGACUGUCUAAAAGCUAACAAACCACGGAAAUUAGUCCCUGGAUGUAUAAUAUUUACGUCAAAUAUUCAUACCUAUCCAGCUGCAUGUAGUAGGUUAGAACUAAACUUGAUUCUGAGCAAUCUCUUAAUGCAUCGCUUUCGAAAUCAUUGAAUUUAGAUCUUUGCACCAAACUAUCUCCGUCCUAUUAAAAUGCAUAAUUUCGAAACAGAGCACCUUUUAAGCCCAACACUCUACUUUGCACGGAUCUGACAGUGACCUUAUAUCAAAAAUUGAAUUAAUUUGAAUGGAUGUGCAACAUGUACAACGUCGCUUUCUCGUUUUUAAGCCGCCAAUUCGCUGUUUUUUGUAAUACAAAUAAUUCUUUCUUUUAAUUCAUGUUUUUGUGUGUUGCUUUUUAUAAAAGCAUUUUUGUUUUUCGACUUUAAAGUUAAAAGCCUUUUGGAUGUUGAAAUAAAUUUUUUAAAACAGAA